UACGUAGGGUCCGAGCGUUGUCCGGAAUUAUUGGGCGUAAAGGGCUCGUAGGCGGUUAGUCGCGUCGGGAGUGAAAACUCAGGGCUCAACCCUGAGCGUGCUUCCGAUACGGGCUGACUAGAGGUAUGCAGGGGAGAACGGAAUUCCUGGUGUAGCGGUGGAAUGCGCAGAUAUCAGGAGGAACACCGGUGGCGAAGGCGGUUCUCUGGGCAUUACCUGACGCUGAGGAGCGAAAGUGUGGGGAGCGAACAGG
rnacentral:rRNA from 1 species